rnacentral:lncRNA from 1 species
GCCUCUGAUUAUACUAUAAGAAAGGGGGAAGCACCAAUCCAGUUGCUCAGACUAUUUGAUUGGCUUCCCUCUUUCUUAUAAUCCAAUCAGAGGCUUUGUUUACAAAUCUUUUGUGAAUUUCCAACUUGCAAUUUGUUCACGUCGGUUGCAAAUUGCUCAAAGCAAUCUACCUAUCAAAAUUGCAAUAUUGUGGGACAAUAUUGCAAUGUUGCUUGCAAGAGAACAUCCGGUUUGACUGUAAAACACUUACGUACUGUACAGUACAUGCUUUGUCAGAUAUAAUACACUUGGCUGUUACUCGUGUUUUAUAUCUGAUAAAGCACUCCUGCUUGUGUUUUAAAUAGUACGUAUUCAGUGCGCAAUAUAUGCAGUCUGACAUUGCCAAUUUUUCUUAGGCCUAUAUUUGUAAACAUCAGUCCGACAAGUUUGAAGCGUUAACGUAGCUGUUUUUAAAUUCAAUCAAUAUGAUGAGCAAUUAUUGAUUAUGAGACACUGAUUGAAACCAGAUCAUCGUAAACGUAUUGUAAUACUUUAUAGUAGAAUGUUAUGGAUUAAUCACUUCGGUUGGUCAAAUUUAAUGGAACACUUUGGAAAUUACGAUCUCAGUAACUCGAAAUGACAUGAAUUUUGUUUUUGUGGAGGGGGAGAUUAUCUCGCAAGAAAGUACACCUUUCCUAAUUAAAGUGCGCAGAUUAACACAAAUAUAAUUUUUGGUAUGUGUAAUAUUUGAGUCAUUCGAUAAAUGUAAUAUAUCUUAAAUUUAUAAUAAAUAUCUCAUCUUGAUCAACUUUUUCACUGUCAAACCUUCCAGAUAUGAUGUCAUUAGAGAGGUUAAGAUACCCCGGUUUCGGUGUACGUGUACGGGUAGCAUGAUUUUGGUUAGCAAUAUUUUCGUCGAUGUCUGUACCUUUACUCGUAAUUAAGGUCACCUCUUUCGCGGGGUUAGGUUAAAACGCGGAAGCGGAACGGAUGCGGAACGGAUAUGGGGUUAAAAUGCGGAACGGAACGGAAAUGCGGAACGGAACGGAUAUGGGGUUAAAAUGCGGAACGGAACGGAAAUGCGGAACGGAACGGAUAUGGGGUUAAAAUGCGGAACGGAACGGAAAUGGGGAACGGAACGGAUAUGGGG